AGACUCAAACCUGAACCUUCAUCAUACAUUAAUGUUAAUAAGAAUGUUCAGUUCAGUGAGAAGUUUUGAACAUCGAACUUCAUAUUUUCGAACAUACCUAGUUCAACUUAUGUACAUUUUAUGUACACUUUUCAGUAUUUGAUUUAUAUUGAACAGUAACUUUGUUGUCAAAUUGAUAAAAGGUUUGCUCGUGAAGUAGAGCCUCCCAUCCUCUAUCCUCGGCCUAGCCUCCAUCCUCCCCCAGGGAAAAGAUUGAAGAUGAUUAAACGAGAAACUGCCACAGUUGUCAUGGUCCCAGUGCAUGCUGAGGACUACUCUAAACUAAACGAGUUUGCUGAGGCUGCCUGGAUAGUGAGAGAUCCAGGGAAUGCGGAUAUAAUUCGACAGCGUCGAUCAGAUCUCUUAAGGACGCACAACAAGGGGUUGAUAAGAGAACUGGAGAAGAAGAAGCAGAAUUGAAGUGUACACCACUUUGGCUGAAUUUUUUGCUCAAGGCAUUUUUUUAAUUUUUUGAAAUAUCAGUUCCGUUCCUUGUUUACUUUACUUGUUUCCGAUUUAGUACAGGUUCGCCUAUUUGUCCUUCUGUACUUAUAUUGUGAUUUUGAUUUACUCAUGUACCUUGCUGUUAAGUGUACAUUGUACACCGUGUAAAUUCUACAGAUGUUUGUGAAAACGAGAAAUUCUAUUGUACGUGAAAUAAAUACUCGUUAAUAAUUUGUUA